UACGUAGGGUGCAAGCGUUGUCCGGAAUUAUUGGGCGUAAAGAGCUCGUAGGCGGUUUGUCGCGUCUGCCGUGAAAGUCCGGGGCUCAACUCCAGAUCUGCGGUGGGUACGGGCAAACUUGAGUGUUGCAGGGGAGACUGGAAUUCCUGGUGUAGCGGUGAAAUGCGCAGAUAUCAGGAGGAACACCGGUGGCGAAGGCGGUUCUCUGGGCCUGUACUGACGCUGAGGAGCGAAAGCGUGGGGGAGCGAACAGG
rnacentral:rRNA from 1 species